rnacentral:lncRNA from 1 species
GAUGGGUUUUAAGCAUUCUAACACUUCCUAAGUGUACAUGCAACCCUAAUAACCUUGAAUCUAUGUUUUCUCUAUAUACAUGCAAAUUUCUUUUUCAAGGUUAUUUCCUAACUAGCAUGGCAUGGGGAAUAUAUGAAACAUAAAAACUAGUAGAAAUACAUACCUUGUUGUUGCUUGGAUUCCUUUGAGACUUUGUGAGCCUAGCACCCCAAAUGUUGUGCCUCAAAUGCUUCACACAACACCACAAAACUUGGAAUAACUUGAGAUAAUACUUCUAGCACUCAAAAUUGGUUAUGCCCUCUCUAGUAACACUCCUAGGUUCGAUUUUACUAGCCAAAGGGAUCCUUUUAUAGUGGUGUCACAAUUAGGGCUUCAUUAAGAAGACCCAUAAUUGUCAUGACUCUUCAUUUCUCAUGACCCAUGGGUUUGUAACUCCCAUGGACUAUCCAUGGAGCUCCAAAUGGUUACAUCCAUAACCCAUAAACCAUGGAUCAUUAAUCCACCAUAAAAGAAUUGAUGAUUGUCAUAAUCAACCCUAUAUAUUUAAUUAGUCUCACUUUGAUCACCAAAUUAAUACUAGAUUAAUACUUGAUCAAUACUAAUUAAAUAACACUAUUAUUAAUAUAUUAGAACUUAUAAUAUAUUAAUAAUCAUAAGUGCCAUAUUCUCUCAUUUAGUCUAUCCAAGUAUUGCAAUGCCAUGCAACCCAAAUGGACCAUGCCGGGUCAGGUCAAGUACAUACCAAAUAAAGUUAUGGACUUAGACACUAUAUCCAACAGUCUCCCACUUGGAUAAGUCUAAUAACUAUAUUUGCAAAUAUGACUUCAAAAUCCGACUAGCAAUCGUAGCUCUUUCAAAGUCUCUCGGAACUGAGAUGAUGAUGAUACGCCAUUUAAGAUAAGUGAUCAUAUAAUCCUCUGCUCUCAUGAUAUCAGCCGGACAAACACAUGGAACAUGGUCUUACUUAUUGUCCAGCAUUUGUUUCUCGAUCUCCGAUUUGUUUCGACAUAGAACUAAAUUGAACACAUCAAUUAGGUUCUGACCGGGCCCGGUACAUAGGUCAAAACCAAAUCAUCGAGGGGCCCAGAUAUCGCUUCUAUUUCUAGAAGGAACAGAUAAACUUCGACUGAUAUGCUUGUACUAACUACUUGUUGAAUUACUCACAAAGGCACGUUUUAUAACAUCGAGUUACCAAUGCGUUUUCGUACAAUCAAUGAAUAACCAACUCAUAGUCAACAACUCAUAUCUCUAGGUUUGAAGAUUUAUAUGAUAUUACCGUCUCACGAUCACUCGAGAUAAAUUCCAUGAAGUGAUGCAAGUGAGCGUGGGUUGAAUCCAAUACUCAGCCCUUAUGAGUACUCAUGAAUGUUGUAGCAACCAUUGCAUUGUCUAAAGCACUUUAGACAAAUCAUACAAGCCAAAUUCAUGACAGUCUUGAAUCAAUACUUACUUCCAAAGUUUGACCGACUGUGGAUGGUUUGAAUAAUAUGAUAUAUACCAUAACAUAAUUAUUCUGGAAGUAAAAACAUGCAAAAUUGAAACAUAGUAAACAAUCAACACAAGAUAGUAACACCUUACUCAUAAAUAAAUAACAACUUUUAUUUAUCAUCAAAUGUCAAUUACAUUUUACAAGUUUCAGGAAUCUAAUUAUUGAAACUAAUAUCAUCCUUCAGCCCAAUGCGCCUUGCAUGCUGUAAAUGCUUAACCCUGCUCAGUCCCUUCGUGAGGGGAUCUGCCGGGUUCUCAUCUGAUGAUACCCUCUUUGCCACGAGGAGUCCUUCUUCUAUUCUAUGUCUGAUGAAAUGGUAUUUUCUGUCAAUGUGCCUAGAUCUCCCGUGAUCUCUUGGUUCUUUAGCCAAAGCAACCGCACUUUCACUGUCACAGAAAAUUUCCAUUGGCUCCUUUAUAGCUGGUACAACUCCAAGGUCUCCGAUGAAGUUCUUUAGCCAUAUCGCCUCUUUUGCUGCCUCGCUUGCUGCUAUGUACUCUGAUUCACAAGUCGAAUCAGCUACUGUCUCCUGCUUGGAACUUUUCCAAGUAAUUGCUCCUCCAUUUAGGAUAAAGACCCAGCCUGACUGAGAGCGGAAAUUAUCCCUAUCAGUUUGAAAGCUAGCAUCACUAUAUCCUUCCACUCUCAAGUCAUCACUGCCUCCGAGGGUAAGGACCCAGUCCUUAGUCCUCCGCAAAUACUUGAGAAUGUUCUUUACCGCUGUCCAGUGUGCCUUGCCAGGGUUCCCUUGAUAUCUACUGACCAUGCUCAAAGCAAAGGCCACAUCAGGGCGAGUACAAGUCAUAGCAUACAUGAUCGAGCCCACAGCGGAAGCAUAUGGUAUCUGACUCAUUUCAGCUAUCUCAGCCUCUGUACUCGGACUCUGAGUCUUACUUAGCUUGGCAUUACUCUGGAUUGGUAACUCUCCUUUCUUGGAAUCUUGCAUACUGAACCUCUUCAGUAUCUUAUCCACAUAAGUACUUUGACUAAGUCCAAUUAGUCUCUUACUCCUAUCUCUCAAUAUCCUUAUCCCUAGGAUAUAGGCAGCUUCCCCAAGGUCCUUCAUAGCAAAACACUUCCCAAGCCAGGCCUUAACCUCCUGCAAAGUUGGGAUGUCGUUUCCUAUGAGAAGUAUGUCAUCCACAUACAACACCAAGAAGCUAACUAUGCUCCCACUAGCCCUGACAUACACACAAGACUCAUCUUCACUCCUAGAAAAGCCAAACUCUUUGACUUUCUCAUCAAAGCAAAGAUUCCACCUGCGAGAUGCUUGUUUCAAUCCAUAAAUGGAUUUUUCAAGCUUACACACUCUAUUAGGGUAUUUUGGAUCGACAAAACCCUCUGGCUGAGCCAUGUAAACAUCCUCAGCCAACUUCCCAUUAAGGAAAGCGGUUUUGACAUCCAUUUGCCAUAUUUCAUAGUCAUGAAAUGCAGCUAUGGCUAACAACACUCUAAUAGACUUAAUCUUAGCUACUGGUGAGAAGGUCUCAUCAUAGUCAACUCCCGGAGUUUGAGUAAAGCCCUUCGCAACCAGUCGCGCUUUAUAAGUGUGUACUUUCCCAUCCAUGUCGGUCUUCUUCUUGAAGAUCCAUUUGCACCCAACUGUCUUACGACCUGGUACAUUGUCAACCAAGUUCCAAACUUGAUUGUCAUACAUGGACUGAAUCUCGCUGUCCAUAGCCUCCUUCCAUUUCGCAGACUCAGGGCCUGCCAUGGCUUCCUUAUAAUUAUUAGGUUCAUCCAAAUCUAUCAGUGUACUAUCACUGAUAAAUGUAUCACCUUCAGUGGUGAUGUGAUAACCAUAAUAAAAUUCAGGUGUGUUCCUCACCCUAGUGGAACGUCUUGGAGGUACAGACUCAUCUAUCGGCUCAACAGGAGUUUCCUCCUCAGGUUGGCUGAUAGCAUUUGAGGUUCCUUCACCACUUGACUCUUGAAGCUCUUCAAGGUCAAUUUGCCUCCCACUGUCCCCUUGGCUUAUGAAUUCUCUCUCACGAAAGACUCCUCUUCUUGCUACAAAGACCACAUUGUCACUGGGUCUGUAGAAGAGGUAACCAAAGGAUCUCUGUGGGUAGCCGAUGAAAAUACACCUCUCGCUUCGGGGCUCAAGCUUGUCAUGAGUCUCACGCCUCACAAAAGCUUCACAACCCCAAAUCUUGAUGUGGUCCAAAUUGGGCACUUUCCCAGUCCACAUCUCGUGAGGUGUUUUGGCAACCUUUUUAGUAGGGACUAGAUUAAGGAUAUGGGCGGCAGUCUCUAAGGCAUACCCCCAGAAAGAGAUUGGUAACGAAGCUCGACUCAUCAUGGAACGAACCAUAUCCAACAAGGUUCGAUUGCGCCUCUCAGCUACACCAUUCAACUGUGGUGUCCUGGGAGGUGUCAAUUGUGAGACAAUCCCACAUUCCUUAAGAUAGUCAAGGAACUCAAUGCUAAGAUACUCUCCUCCCCGAUCGGAUCGGAGCAUCUUGAUGUUCCUGCCCAAUUGAUUCUCAACUUCCUGCUUAAACUCUUUGAACUUUUCAAAGGUUUCUGACUUAUGCUUGAUUAAGUAAAUAUAUCCAUAUCUACUGUAAUCAUCAGUAAAAGUCACAUAAUAACGAUUAGCAUCCCUUGUAGCAACUCUGAAGGGCCCACACACAUCCGUGUGUACAAGGUCCAACAAACCUUCACCCCUAUCACAAGUACCUGUGAAGGGCGACUUUGUCAUUUUUCCAAGUAAACAAGACUCGCAACUAUCAUCUGACUUGAGGUCAAAUGAUUCCAAGACUCCAGCCUUUUGGAGUUGGCCUAUGCGCUUCUUGUUAACAUGUCCAAGACGACAAUGCCACAAGGAUGCUUUAUCCAAGCUAUCAGAAGAAUCAAUAUACAACACAUUAUUUCCUAGAUUGUCUACAACAUUCACGGCUUCAUAUACACCAUCACAAGGUAUUGCUUUAAAGUAAAAUACAUCAUUGUAAUAAACAUUAAUAGCACCAUUUUUAUUAUCAAAUGAAAAUGUAAAACCUUGUUUGUACAAGCCAUGAAAAGAAAUAAUAUUUCUCGCCAUUUCGGGCGAGUAACAACACUUAUUCAAAUCUAACAUUAACCCAUUAUUAAGCAAUAAAGAAUAAACUCCUAUCUUGGUAACAGGUGAUGCUUUCCUGUUGCCCAUGACUAAGUUUAUCUUCCCGUGCUCCACUUGCUCACUUCUUCUUAGUGCCUGCAAAUCAGUACAAAUGUGAAUACCACACCCUGUAUCAAGCACCCAAGAAUUAGCAUUAGAUGAGUUGUUAGACAAUAUUGUGUAAAUACCUGCAUGGGUGGGUUUAACCUUCCCAUCCUUUACAUCUUGCAGAUAUUUGGCGCAGCUUCGCUUGAAGUGUCCCUUAUCUUGGCAAUAGAAGCACUGUGCUUCCUUUGGGUUCGAAGAAGGAGUAAUGGGACCUUUCUUUGUCCCACUUGAAGAGGAACCAUCAAGAGUCUUACCCUUGGUACCCUUUGAAGGGCUUUUCCUCUUCUUACCCUUCCCUUGCCCAAUUGCAAGAACAGGGGCUGUUAAAGGAGUAGAAGUAGCAACCGCUUUACCCUUAAGGCCAUUUUCAGCUGUCCUUAAGAGUCCUUGAAGUUUGCUAAGUGUGACUUCCUCCUUGUUCAUAUGAUAAGUCAUACGAAACUGAUCAUAACUUGGAGGUAAGGAAUGGAGAAUGAUGUCAAUCGCCAAUUCCUCAGGGAAGUCAACAUUGAGCUUUAGCAACCGGUCAACGAACCUCUGCAUCUUCUGCAAGUGACCGGUGAUGGGUUCACCAUCCUUCAUCCUUGCGGUUAUCAUGGAGGAAAUGAUUUCAUACCUCUCUUGACGCGCGCUCUGAUGGUACCUUUCCAUCAGAUCUAGGUGCAUCUCAUAGGGGUAGAAAUCUUCAUAAGAUUUUUGGAGUUCCGGAGUCAUUGUGGCCAUCAUGAUGCAGGACACCUUGGUGGCAUCCUUCUCAUGCGCAAUGAACUCCGCAAGCUCUUCUGGAGUAGCAGUGGCUUCAUUAACAACCUUAAGCUCCCUAUCAAGGACAUAUUCUUUGUCCUCAUAGCGGGUAAUCAUCCUGAUGUUUCUGAUCCACUCAUUAAAGUUGGAUCCAUCAAAGAUGACCUUACCACACAAGUUCAUUAGGGAAAAGGAGCCUGUAGGGUUUGAGCCAGCAGCGUUAUUGGAAGACAUCUGGAAUAAAAGGAAGAUAAGUUUCAUUAGAUUAAGAGUCCUUAAUAAGUCACCCAAAUGAAAUAUUAAGGCUAGGAUCCAACAAACUAUUUAUAGGUGGAAGAGGGAUGCCGUAAUCCACACUAUAAAAUAUUUGAAGGUAGGUAAAUGACGAUUUACCAAUUUCCACCAUAAGACGAAAUAUUUUAUUAUUAGGUUUUAUUGGUUUUGAAACUCCUAGAUCUUUUGAGAUACAUUGAACUUUUCAAUGGCAUGUUUGAAUCUCGAAUGUGCCCUCUCAAGUUUGUGACUGGGAUGCCGAGGAUCACAAACAAGGUGUGAAUAACCAUACAAAUUGACUUGGUACCCUUAACAAUAUUACCUAAUCGAUGUGCCGGUUAACCACACACGCUCCACCGAUCUAUAAUAAAGUCAAGUUACCCUUUGCCACUCUUACUAGUCCAUGUUAGUGUGCCGGUUAACCACACACGCUCCACUAACGACUUGGUAAGGUACAAAGUGUAAUUUUAUGGGCUAGCACCAAUUUCACAUUUUCCUAAAGUAACUAAGAUUGGGAAUUUAUAAUGUAUAGUUACUUUAUAAUUCAUUAUACUUUUAAUGAGAAUUUAAAGUCAUAUCCUACCCGUUCGGCUAACGACCCUCCACCGAUCAAGGAAGCGGUGGGUGAGAGUGGACACCCAUUAAGUCACCAUUUUAUAGGCAACAACCUUAUACCCCCCUUAUAGACCGGCUUCGUGAAUGAGGCCUACUAACGGUAAGAAUGACAUAUUCUUAUACAUAUCUAUAUAAUAAAAUUAUAAUAAUAGUAUAAGUGUUGAUUUUUAAACUUUUUAAAAAUCUAAGGUUUAAUUUGGAAUUAAAGUAUUAGAGUGUAAGACUUUUCAAAUUCCAAAACUUGAGGGCAAGAAUUGAAACUAUUCCAAGUCUCUUCAAUUUGUAACUUAUGAGUUUUAAUGGUUCAUAAAAAUGAAGACUCUUCAUUUUAUGAAACCUAUUUAGUUCUUUAAACACAAAUUAAAGAAGUGACCUUUGGUUAUCCAUAACUUGAGGACAAGUUAUGGACACCAUCAAUACAAUUAAGAUCAAGAAUUAAGCACACAUGGUGGUUACACAUAAUUCCUAUGAUCUUCUAAAAACUCAUAAGAACACAAAUUCAUGUCAAGGAAUUUCAAGAAAUCUUAUAAACAUAUAUAAUACUUUGAAAUUGUUAAAGGUCAUGUAAAAUGGAUUAACAUAAUCAUUAUCAUUUUGAAAAACAGAUUUUACAAGUCCAAAACAGAUUGGGAUAAUGAUUCUAAUCCAUUUCCAGCAACAAAACACGAAAAGACUGCCCAGCACGCACCUACUCGUCGAGUGCAUGAUCCUACUCGACGAGUAGGAUGAAUUUGUACAUGGACUCGGCGAGUCCUCCCCAUGAACUCGGCGAGUCUAGUCGACAGUGAGCAGAUUUUUCGAUUUUCAAGCAGUUUUGCAUCAAGUAUACAGAAAACAAUCCUAGGCUCUGAUACCACUGAUGGGUUUUGAGCAUUCUAACACUUCCUAAGUGUACAUGCAACCCUAAUAACCUUGAAUCUAUGUUUUCUCUAUAUACAUGCAAAUUUCUUUUUCAAGGUUAUUUCCUAACUAGCAUGGCAUGGGGAAUAUAUGAAACAUAAAAACUAGUAGAAAUACAUACCUUGUUGUUGCUUGGAUUCCUUUGAGACUUUGUGAGCCUAGCACCCCAAAUGUUGUGCCUCAAGUGCUUCACACAACACCACAAAACUUGGAAUAACUUGAGAGAAUACUUCUAGCACUCAAAAUCGGUUAUGCCCUCUCUAGUAACACUCCUAGGUCCGAUUUUACUAGCCAAAGGGUUCCUUUUAUAGUGGUGUCACAAUUAGGGUUUCAUUAAGAAGACCCAUAAUUGUCAUGACUCUUCAUUUCUCAUGACCCAUGGGUUUGUAACUCC